ACCUGGUUAGCUCAAUUGGUAGAGCGCUCCACCUGUAAUGGAGAGGUCCCGGGUUCGAUACCCGGACCAGGCG
rnacentral:tRNA from 2 species